UACGAAGGGGGCUAGCGUUGUUCGGAAUUACUGGGCGUAAAGCGCACGUAGGCGGAUUGUUAAGUCAGAGGUGAAAUCCCGGAGCUCAACUUCGGAACUGCCUUUGAUACUGGCAAUCUCGAGUCCGGAAGAGGUUAGUGGAAUUCCCAGUGUAGAGGUGAAAUUCGUAGAUAUUGGGAAGAACACCAGUGGCGAAGGCGGCUAACUGGUCCGGUACUGACGCUGAGGUGCGAAA
rnacentral:rRNA from 1 species